rnacentral:rRNA from 1 species
ACGAACGCUGGCGGCGUGCCUAAUACAUGCAAGUCGAGCGGACAGAUGGGAGCUUGCUCCCUGAUGUUAGCGGCGGACGGGUGAGUAACACGUGGGUAACCUGCCUGUAAGACUGGGAUAACUCCGGGAAACCGGGGCUAAUACCGGAUGGUUGUUUGAACCGCAUGGUUCAGACAUAAAAGGUGGCUUCGGCUACCACUUACAGAUGGACCCGCGGCGCAUUAGCUAGUUGGUGAGGUAACGGCUCACCAAGGCGACGAUGCGUAGCCGACCUGAGAGGGUGAUCGGCCACACUGGGACUGAGACACGGCCCAGACUCCUACGGGAGGCAGCAGUAGGGAAUCUUCCGCAAUGGACGAAAGUCUGACGGAGCAACGCCGCGUGAGUGAUGAAGGUUUUCGGAUCGUAAAGCUACUGUUGUUAGGGAAGAACAAGUGCCGUUCAAAUAGGGCGGCACCUUGACGGUACCUAACCAGAAAG